rnacentral:rRNA from 1 species
AUCAUUACAGUGUUGGCUGCCCUCACGGGUAGCAAACCUCACCCUUGUAUAUUAUAUCUUACAUUCUGAAAAUGUCGUCUGAGUACUAUCUAAUAGUUAAAACUUUCAACAACGGAUCUCUUGGUUCUGGCAUCGAUGAAGAACGCAGCGAAAUGCGAUAAGUAAUGUGAAUUGCAGAAUUCAGUGAAUCAUCGAAUCUUUGAACGCACAUUGCGCCCGGUGGCAUUCCGCCGGGCAUGCCUGUUCGAGCGUCAUUUAAACCAAUCCAGCCUCGUGCUUGGGUCUUGGGCCUUUCGCCUUCGGGCGGGCCUCAAAAUCAGUGGCGGUGCCGUCUGGCUCUAAGCGUAGUAAUACUCCUCGCUAUAGACGUCCGGUGGUGGCUUGCCAACAACCCCCAAUUUUAUCAGGUUGACC